CUUCAAAAAUUUGUCCAAUUACAAAACCCUAUUUCUUCUCUGGACAAUGCUUUCUUUGUGAAGAACUGCUGGCCGCUUCUUCAGGAGCUAAAAUCUAGCAAUGGCAUUUAGAUCUAUUUCUCGUUUUGGACAAUACCUUCGAUACGCCAGUGGUUUCUCUCCUUCACGGUUUGGAUCAGUGUUCAACGAGAACCGGCGGUCCGUGACAUACAUGCCACGGCCCGGCGACGGUGCGCCUAGGGCAGUGACGUUGAUUCCCGGCGAUGGAAUCGGUCCCUUAGUCACUGGAGCCGUGCAGCAGAUCAUGGAGGCGAUGCACGCGCCCUUGUACUUCGAGACCUAUGAGGUCCAUGGGGACAUGACGUCAGUGCCGCAGGAGGUGAUCGAUUCGAUUCGAAGGAACAAGGUUUGUCUCAAGGGGGGCCUGGCUACGCCAGUAGGGGGUGGUGUGAGCUCGCUGAAUGUGCAGCUAAGGAAAGAGCUCGACCUCUACGCUUCGCUGGUUAACUGUUUCAAUCUCCCUGGGUUGCCUACUCGGCACGAGAACGUUGAUAUUGUUGUGAUUAGAGAGAACACCGAGGGGGAGUACUCUGGGCUUGAGCAUGAGGUGGUUCCCGGUGUUGUAGAGAGUCUGAAGGUGAUGACAAAGUUUUGCUCAGAGCGGAUUGCAAAAUAUGCUUUCGAAUAUGCCUACCUUAACAACAGAAAGAAGGUUACUGCUGUGCAUAAAGCCAACAUAAUGAAACUUGCAGAUGGUUUGUUUUUAGAAUCUUGCCGGGAAGUUGCAACAAAGUACCCGGGGAUUAAAUAUAAUGAAAUUAUUGUUGACAAUUGCUGCAUGCAACUUGUUUCAAAGCCUGAGCAGUUUGAUGUCAUGGAAUGGGAAUUCGGCGCUGGUGCCGAUCAACUCCCAAACUACGUCGGCCACCGGGAACAAUUGGCGGUGCCUGUUCCCGACGUGGUUGAAGAUUUGUGUCAGCCGCCUGAUUGAGGUUUAGCUCACGGCGCAGCGUUACCGAAAGACGUUGCACAUCUGUUGUCAACGAUUUCAGUUGGCGCAAGAUGGCAGUCUGGUUUGUCCACAGCGUCUCAAAGCUCCGAUCAUCAUCGGUGGCCGGUUCUUUGCCUCGUUCUGUCAUCCCGUUCGUCUGGAGGUGCUGUCUCUGAUACCAGAUAAUGUCACCUGAGGACCUGCAAUAAUUCCAGACCAGGAAACAAAAACAAAGAUCCUGAAACAGUGAAAAACAUAGAGGCUCACCUCUCGAAAUGAGAAAGGGAAGGACUUCUUACACAAUGCGAAUUUCUAUAGAAAUAGUGUAAAAGCUGAUUCUACUACAUUCCUUACUACCUUUAUAUUUCCCUAUGAUUUUGAUACUAUGUAAAAUAUAAUAAUAGGAAUUACUAAAUAUAGUGGAGCAGCAACUAAGCAGAUAAAAGAAAUAAUAUCACUACUGUAACCGAAAUGGCAGAAGAGCGUGGAGGAGAAGUGGAGUGGUCUGAUGUGCCUCAGCUCCAACGUAUGUGCUGCAUCACAUUUGGAUCCUUUCCAAAUGCCAUGGAAAUUAUCGUAUCAACCAUACAAUCCAUUUGCGGCUGCUGGGAUUUGACUCCACCAAUAUUAAGGUCACUCCAAAUUUGUACGGGAAUCUUGUAGCAAAUACUGCUGCAGGUAUUGCUGGAGGAACGGGUGUCAUGCCUGGAGGCAAUGUAGGGCAAGACCAUGCAGUUUUCGAGCAAGGUGCUUCCGCAGGCAAUGUAGGUAAU